rnacentral:rRNA from 1 species
AGUGAACGCUGGCGGCAGGCCUAAUACAUGCAAGUCGAACGGCAGCACAGUGGAGCUUGCUCCAUGGGUGGCGAGUGGCGGACGGGUGAGGAAUACAUGGGAAUCUGCCCAGUCGUGGGGGAUAACGUAGGGAAACUUACGCUAAUACCGCAUGCGCCCUUCGGGGGAAAGCCGGGGACCUUCGGGCCUGGCGCGAUUGGAUGAGCCCAUGUUCGAUUAGCUAGUUGGCGGGGUAAAGGCCCACCAAGGCGACGAUCGAUAGCUGGUCUGAGAGGAUGAUCAGCCACACUGGGACUGAGACACGGCCCAGACUCCUACGGGAGGCAGCAGUAGGGAAUAUUGGACAAUGGGCGCAAGCCUGAUCCAGCCAUGCCGCGUGAGUGAAGAAGGCCCUCGGGUUGUAAAGCUCUUUUGUCCGGGAAGAAAAGCAUCGGGCUAAUACCUCGGUGUUCUGACGGUACCGGAAGAAUAAGCACCGGCUAACUUCGU